rnacentral:rRNA from 1 species
CCUAAUACAUGCAAGUCGAACGCUGAUGAGAGGAGCUUGCUUUCUUGGAUGAGUUGCGAACGGGUGAGUAACGCGUAGGUAACCUGCCUUGUAGCGGGGGAUAACUAUUGGAAACGAUAGCUAAUACCGCAUAACAAUGGAUGAGAGAUGUCAUUUAUUUGAAAGGGGCAAUUGCUCCACUACAAGAUGGACCUGCGUUGUAUUAGCUAGUAGGUGAGGUAACGGCUCACCUAGGCGACGAUACAUAGCCGACCUGAGAGGGUGAUCGGCCACACUGGGACUGAGACACGGCCCAGACUCCUACGGGAGGCAGCAGUAGGGAAUCUUCGGCAAUGGGGGCAACCCUGACCGAGCAACGCCGCGUGAGUGAAGAAGGUUUUCGGAUCGUAAAGCUCCGUUGUAAGUCAAGAACGAGUGUGAGAGUGGAAAGUUCACACUGUGACGGUAGCUUACCAGAAAGGGACGGCUAACUACGUGCCAGCAGCCGCGGUAAUACGUAGGUCCCGAGAGUUGUCCGGAUUUAUUGGGCGUAAAGCGAGAGCAGGCGGAUUUAUAAGUCUGAAGUUAAAGGCUGUGGCUCAACCCAUAGUUUCGCUUUGAAACUGUCAAACUUGAGUGCAGAAGGGGACAGUGGAAUUCCAUGUGUAGCGGUGAAAUGCGUAGAUAUAUGGAGGAACACCGGUGGCGAAAGCGGCUCUCUGGUCUGUAACUGACGCUGAGGCUCGAAAGCGUGGGGAGCGAACAGGAUUAGAUACCCUGGUACUCCACGCCGUAAACGAUGAGUGCUAGGUGUUGGAUCCUUUCCGGGAUUCAGUGCCGCACGUAACGCAUUAAGCACUCCGCCUGGGGAGUACGAC